UACAGAGGUCUCAAGCGUUGUUCGGAUUCAUUGGGCGUAAAGGGUGCGUAGGCGGCGCGGUAAGUCGGGUGUGAAAUCUCGGAGCUUAACUCCGAAACUGCAUUCGAUACUGCCGUGCUUGAGGACUGGAGAGGAGACUGGAAUUUACGGUGUAGCGGUGAAAUGCGCAGAUAUCAGGAGGAACACCCGUGGCGAAAGCGGCUCUCUGGGACGGUACUGACGCUGAGACGCGAAAGCGUGGGGAGCGAACAGG
rnacentral:rRNA from 1 species